rnacentral:rRNA from 1 species
AGAGUUUGAUCAUGGCUCAGAACGAACGCUGGCGGCAGGCUUAACACAUGCAAGUCGAACGCACCUUUCGGGGUGAGUGGCAGACGGGUGAGUAACGCGUGGGGAACGUGCCCUUCAGUUCGGAAUAACCCAGAGAAACUUGGGCUAAUACCGGAUACGUGCGAGAGCAGAAAGAUUUAUCGCUGAAGGAUCGGCCCGCGUCUGAUUAGCUAGUUGGUGAGGUAAUGGCUCACCAAGGCGACGAUCAGUAGCUGGUCUGAGAGGAUGAUCAGCCACAUUGGGACUGAGACACGGCCCAAACUCCUACGGGAGGCAGCAGUGGGGAAUAUUGGACAAUGGGCGCAAGCCUGAUCCAGCCAUGCCGCGUGAGUGAUGAAGGCCUUAGGGUUGUAAAGCUCUUUCGUCCGGGACGAUAAUGACGGUACCGGAAGAAGAAGCCCCGGCUAACUUCGUGCCAGCAGCCGCGGUAAUACGAAGGGGGCUAGCGUUGUUCGGAAUCACUGGGCGUAAAGGGCGCGUAGGCGGCUUUGUAAGUCGGGGGUGAAAGCCUGUGGCUCAACCACAGAAUUGCCUUCGAUACUGCAUGGCUUGAGACCGGAAGAGGUUAGUGGAACUGCGAGUGUAGAGGUGAAAUUCGUAGAUAUUCGCAAGAACACCAGUGGCGAAGGCGGCUGACUGGUCCGGUUCUGACGCUGAGCGCGAAAGCGUGGGGAGCAAACAGGAUUAGAUACCCUAGUAGUCC